AUGGCAAAAUUCUGGUGGGCGAGUUCCAUUGACAGAAGAUCACUCCAUUGGACCUCAUGGGACAAGCUUGCAACACCAAAGUGUAAUGGCGGUAUGGGAUUCCAUGAUCUACGGAUUUUUAACUUGGCAUUGUUAGGAAAGCAUGGAUGGCGCUUCAUGAUAAAUCCUAAUUCCUUGUGUGCCAGGGUAAUGAAAGGGAGAUAUUUUCCUGACACCGACUUCAUGCAUGCCUCGGUACCCAAAUCCUCCUCGGCGACUUGGAGAGCUAUUGUGGCAGGC
rnacentral:rRNA from 1 species